UGGAACUGAACUUUAGUGCACUGCCCUAUUCCAUCAUUACCAUGUUUCUCCUGGCCAUUUGGUAAUUUUCAGACUCUUCUUGUGACUCAUGAAAAUGACCUAGGAGACAAGGAUGCCUGGACUCCUGCCCUCUCCUAGGCUCUCAAUGCCAUCUCAUCUUCAUCCAACUCACCCUCUUCGCCUGGCUCUUGUUUUAUUGAGUGCCAUCUGUCCACUUUGCCGUGCCCUCUGGAACCCUCUUUCAUUGUCAAUAUACUCCAUUAUCUACUCCACACCAAGUUUUGCUCUUUUCUGUAUGUUUCCUUAUCUUAGUUAAUGACAACACCAUCUUCCCCCUGCUCUCUAAGUCAUCAUCCCUGAUUACUCCCUCUCAAGUACCCUCCACUUCAAAUUAGUCACCAAUUCCUAUGAAUUCUAGUUCUGAAGUGUCUCACAAAUCUGACACCAUCAUCGGUCCUCUAAGCUGUUAAAAUAACUCCUUGAACACACACCUUUGAAUAUAGUCUGUACUUUAAAAAGUUUUCUGAAUGCAGUGCUUAUUAGUUUUAAUCUUUCCCAAAUGUCUGUGCCAUCAUUCUUGGCUUCACCCCUGCUUGUUUAUAUUCUUCCUGGUUUUAAUCUCAUAUUUGGAUAAAGAUAUUUAAGAUGUUUUUCUAUGCAAUGUUUAUAGUGGGCUGUCUUUUGAAAGACCAAUAGUCAUAGCCUUAAGGAGACCACUGUUGCUGAAAAGCCUUGUUUAUUGUGAGGAGGAGGGGAGAAACUGGGGUGAGAAACGUUGCUACCUGUUGCAGCAGCUACCUGAUCACCCAAGAGAUUUGCAUAAUUUCUUCCUCCCACUAUAUCCCAUUCCAGCAGCCAAUAUCUUAACAAAAGGGAAGCUAUUAUGGAAGAAAAUUUAAUAAAAAUAUUCUCUAGG
rnacentral:lncRNA from 1 species